ensembl:snoRNA Gm23892 small nucleolar RNA SNORA17
ACUGUCCCUCCAGGCAUUGCAGAUGUGGCGGUUGUAUCAUGUUUGCAUCAGUACGGACAGAGAGAAGAAAGGCAAUGUCUACACUCAGUCUCCUGAUCUAUGGACACUUGAACAAUUAGUAGCCUACUUG